rnacentral:tRNA from 1 species
GACCGGGUAGCCGGCGAGGGAGUCGACCGAUUCUCGGUCGGCACACGGCUUCGCGUGGUUCGAAUCCCGCCCCUUCCA